rnacentral:misc_RNA from 2 species
AAAAGCGUGCUAUGCCAAAAGUAACUUUGGCAUAGCACGCUUUAGAAAAA